rnacentral:rRNA from 1 species
AGAGCGAACGCUGGCGGCAGGCCUAACACAUGCAAGUCGAGCGCCCGUAGCAAUACGGGAGCGGCAGACGGGAUAGUAACACGUGGGAACGCGCCCUUCGGUUCGGAAUAACUCAGGGAAACUUGAGCUAAUACCGGAUACGCCCUUACGGGGAAAGAUUUAUUGCCGAAGGAACGGCCCGCGUCCGAUUAGCUAGUUGGUGAGGUAAUGGCUCACCAAGGCGACGAUCGGUAGCUGGUCUGAGAGGAUGACCAGCAUCACUGGGACUGAGACACGGCCCAGACUCCUACGGGAGGCAGCAGUGGGGAAUAUUGGACAAUGGGCGCAAGCCUGAUCCAGCCAUGCCGCGUGGAUGAUGAAGGCCUUCGGGUUGUAAAACUCUUUUACCCGGGAAGAUAAUGACUGUACCGGGAGAAUAAGCUCCGGCUAACUUCGUGCCAGCAGCCGC